rnacentral:rRNA from 1 species
GACGAACGCUGGCGGCGUGCCUAAUACAUGCAAGUCGAACGAGAGCGCCCGGUGCUUGCACUGGUCAAUCUAGUGGCGAACGGGUGAGUAACACGUGGGUAACCUGCCCAUCAGAGGGGGAUAACAUCCGGAAACGGAUGCUAAAACCGCAUAGGUCUUCGAACCGCAUGGUUUGAAGAGGAAAAGAGGCGCAAGCUUCUGCUGAUGGAUGGACCCGCGGUGCAUUAGCUAGUUGGUGAGGUAACGGCUCACCAAGGCCGUGAUGCAUAGCCAACCUGAGGGGGUGAUCGGCCAAACUGGGACUGAGACACGGGCCCAACUCCUCAGGGAGGGAGGAGUAGGGAAACUUCCCCAAUGGGCCGAAAGUUGACGGGGCAAAGCCGCGGGAGGGAAAAAAGUUUUCGGAUCGUAAAACUCUUUUUGUUGGGAAAAAAAAAGGGGUAAGGAACUGUUCACCGCUUGAAGGUACCUAAACAGAAAGCCACGGCUAACUACGGG